rnacentral:lncRNA from 1 species
UGCAACACUUCUAAAUUUUAAAGAACGCUUGGAUUGACAUGAAAUUUGGCAUACACAUAGCUAACAUGCCAAAGAAAAAAAGUGAUAUUGUGUCGAUGUGUGCUUUUGUCCUGGUGGUGAGUUUCACUGCUUCUCGGGGGUGAAAAAAUAUAGGCCCAAAAUAAGUCCGGAAAUGGAUAAACUGACUAAUUUUAAGCAACGUUUGUUCUAUAGAGCUUUUUCACCAAGUCAGUCCUUUUCGACUUAUGUAUUUGCGAGUAAAUAUGUUCAUUUUUCAACAAAACCACGUUUUUAGACCGUUUUUCGCAAAUAUCUCAAAAGCCAUUUGGGACCACUUAGAACCGUUUCCAACCAACUUUAUGGCAACCUUCGAAGUUAAGACUUAAAACCAGCCGAAGACCACCCUAGGGUGCUGCAGCAGUCAAAUCAGCACAGGAAAAGCCGACCGAACGUCAAGAACAUCACCUGAGAAAACUUAACUGGCUCACACCAAAGAACCAGGAGAAGUCGGCCAAACAACCGUCGGUCGACUAGAGUCCACAACAACGGGAACUGCUGGGAAAGUUCAGUUAAGUCCAUAGUUUCUUUCUUGGCUUAAACAUCGAUCCCUGAUUCGCUGAUAUUAAUUUUUAAAUUGUCAAUUAUUAAUUUGGUUACAUGAUAAAUAUAAGCAAUAAGAUGUAAUUAAGUAUCUAACAAUUGAAUAAAGAAUGUGUGUUGAAAA